GCGGCAAGAGCUCAAAUUUGAAAUCUGGCCUCCCCCGGGGGCCCGAGUUGUAAUUUGCAGAGGAUGCUUCGGGUGCGGCCGCCGUCUAAGUUCCUUGGAACAGGACGUCAGAGAGGGUGAGAAUCCCGUCUUGGGCGGGCGGUCCGCGCCAGUGUGAAGCUCCUUCGACGAGUCGAGUUGUUUGGGAAUGCAGCUCUAAGCGGGUGGUAAAUUUCAUCUAAAGCUAAAUAUUGGCCGGAGACCGAUAGCGCACAAGUAGAGUGAUCGAAAGGUUAAAAGCACCUUGAAAAGGGAGUUAAACAGCACGUGAAAUUGUUGAAAGGGAAGCGCUUGCGGCCAGACUCGGGGGCGGGGUUCAGCGGGUGCUCGUCGCCCGUGUAUUCCUCGUCUCCCGGGCCAGCAUCAGUUUCGACGGCCGGUCAAAGGCCCCCGGAAUGUGUCGUCUCUCGGGACGUCUUAUAGCCGGGGGUGCAAUGCGGCCCGUCGGGACUGAGGAACGCGCUCCGGCUCGGAUGCUGGCGUAAUGGCCGUAAGCGGCCCGUCU
rnacentral:rRNA from 1 species